CUCUCUCUCUCUUCCUCCCCCUCCCUCCAGGUGACUGAUUUAUGUACACAUCGAAAGUCUAAUAUUCUCCCAAGUUAAAGACUACAAAACUUUUCCAAUCGGGAGGAAGGAAGCCUCGGAACUUGGAGAGAAAAAAAGGAAAGAAAGAGGAAAAAUCCCCGGAGAGGGCAGCUAAGGGGCUGCGCGGGCUCGUGCAGGGAGCCACCGGGAAAGGAGACAGGGAGAGAGCCGGCCUCUGGCUCUCGCAGUGUCCGCUUUGGCCGGUUUUUCUUCCUCCACCACCACCAGCAGCACCGGCACCGGUAGUUCGGUGGUAGCCGCCGUCUCCUCUCUACAGCGGCAGCCGCUCCCGGUGUUUCUCUCUUCCCUAUCAACUCCAGGCGUCCAGGCGCCGCUGGAGAGAGGACAGGGGAGCAGACCGCACACGGCCCACAAAAUAUAGGCAAAAAGGCCGAGAGAAGAAAAAGGAGAAAAGUUCAAGGAUGCAGCCAAAAGUUUUGGAUUUAAGAAAACAAUGGAAAGAACGUUUAAUAAUGUAGACAGCCUUAAAAGCAUGUCACGUGUGGUUUUUGGUAAAGCCAGUUGUUAAAACUUUUACCAAUUCAUCCCUGCCUGAAGGAGCAGCUAAGUACAUCAAGAACCUGGGGAAGAUGUCUUACAGAUCUGGUUAUUCCUUUCCUAAGAGGCAACAAUAUUGAAAUUAAGCCAAAUAAUAACCUAGAAUGGCCUCUAAGUGUUCAAGUGAAAAGAAGUAUUAAUGUAUGAUACAG
rnacentral:lncRNA from 1 species